rnacentral:rRNA from 1 species
UACGUAGGGGGCAAGCGUUGUUCGGAUUCAUUGGGCGUAAAGGGUGCGUAGGCGGCGCGGUAAGUCGGGUGUGAAAUCUUGGAGCUUAACUCCGAAACUGCAUUCGAUACUGCCGUGCUUGAGGACUGGAGAGGAGACUGGAAUUUACGGUGUAGCGGUGAAAUGCGUAGAUAUCUGGAGGAACACCGGUGGCGAAGGCGGCAUCCUGGACCAACACUGACACUGAGGAGCGAAAGCCAGGGGAGCAAACGGG